GACGAACGCUGGCGGCGUGCUUAACACAUGCAAGUCGAACGGUGAUGCUCCAGCUUGCUGGAGUGGAUCAGUGGCGAACGGGUGAGUAACACGUGAGCAACCUGCCCCAGACUCUGGAAUAAGCGCUGGAAACGGCGUCUAAUACUGGAUACGAAACUGGCCCGCAUGGGCAUGGUUUGGAAAGUUUUUCGGUUUGGGAUGGGCUCGCGGCCUAUCAGCUUGUUGGUGAGGUAAUGGCUCACCAAGGCGACGACGGGUAGCCGGCCUGAGAGGGCGACCGGCCACACUGGGACUGAGACACGGCCCUGACUCCUACGGGAGGCAGCAGUGGGGAAUAUUGCACAAUGGGCGAAAGCCUGAUGCAGCGACGCCGCGUGAGGGAUGACGGCCUUCGGGUUGUAAACCUCUUUCAGCAGGGAAGAAGCGAAAGUGACGGUACCUGCAGAAGAAGCACCGGCUAACUACGUG
rnacentral:rRNA from 1 species